rnacentral:tRNA from 1 species
GCGCCUGUAGCUCAGUCGGAUAGAGCAACGGCCUUCUAAGCCGAAGGUCGCAGGUUCGAAUCCUGCCAGGCGCGCCA